AGGAACAGAGAAUGGAAGAAUGCAUGUCUAUGUACUGAUGAGGCACGCUAAACUAACUAAAGCCAGCAAUGUACUGGGCGAGGCAUUUGGAGGUCCGAACGGAGCAUCAGAGGGGCGCACGUGGCUGAGAGGCUGGAGAGGAGACUGCUUGCUAGAACUUCACAAGCCCUGGUUCACAUUUUUAGUCCCACAGUCAUUAUGUGAAGCAACUUCCUACCAAAUUCCCAGCAGAGUCAGUGAGAAAGCCAGGAGGAAGUUGCAACUCCCAGAACAGAAGGGAGGUAAGUGGCUACUGCCAUGUGGGGAAGUUUGACUAAAAUUGUGCAAGAAGAGAUUCUACAUAAAUUGCUGUGGCUGGCAUUGUAUUACCAGAGGCUCCUAAGCAAAGUUGCAGGAAUGAAUUCUUCUACCAUCAUUAUUUUCAAUCAACUGUAUUAUUUGAGUAAGCAUGUAAAGCAGGGAUGGGCAAUUAAUUUUCCCAAGGGGCCAUAUGAGAAAAUGGAACUAUUGUGAAUCAACAGAACUAAGUUGCUAGAGUUCAGAAACACUGAUUUAGAUGUUUGAAGAAUGGCAGUGUUUUAUCACAGAAAAGAUGACACUUAUGGAAGAAGAAUAUUCAUAAAAGUGAAAAAGAAAGAAGAUACAGUUUCCAAGCCAUCUUCUCUUGAAAACCGAAGUCUGAUAUCAGUAAAAAUACUAAAUUGCCUUUUAACUUCAGAGGAUAAAUUCUGGGAAUAUGAAACCAAAUACAAUGAAAUCCAUGAAACAUAAGAGAGAACGUACUUUUAUCCCAGUCAAUAUAAAAAUGCUUUUAUUUUUUAUCAGUUUUUGAAAACCACACAUCUCCCAGCAGGACUCUGGGUAGGGUACAAAUAAAAUAUGAAAUAUAUAAAAAACUUUAUAUAACUUUUUAAAAGAGGCAAGCCAUGUUCAGAAUUAAUUAAAAUCCCAUAAGAAUCUAACACAAUUCAAGACAAGUCCAUCAAAUGCAAAAGAUGUUCUUUCAUUGCAUGUAGCAACCUGCCUCAUGGCCUCAUCAGUUUGCAAAUGCUGUUUGCAAACUGUUUGCAAAUCUUGCCUGUUCUGCUAUGGCAAUAUUGGCCUCUCAGGCAAAUGUGUAGAAACAAUGGUAGCACAAAAACACUCUCUGAUAUUCUGGCCCUUUCUCCCCUCACACUUUUUUUUUAAAAGUGUCAGAAGUGUCCCACAUAUUAUGAUUCCAGCUAGUACUGUUAUUUUCAAGAAUAUAGGGUGAUCUCAGGUAUUUUCAGGGAUCCUCCACAGAGAAAUUCCUUUUCACUGUAAACUUGUCAAAGCCUACACAGCAGAACAGUAAGAUCCUGCUACUUAACAGAGUUUCAGUAGCCACCAAGGCUGGCAUGGCCUUCAGACAGAAAGUUGGAUUGUUUGUAUGAUGUAUUACCUCAGGCAUGAAAGCAAAGAAAGGCCUGCUCUCUACUUCCUAAGUUAGGUUACUAUCUCAAAUUGGUGUGAGAAAGUAAGAUUCAACAGUUAGUUGACUUUUAUUCAUGCAUUGGCAAUAAAAACACUUUGAUCUGAGACUAAGAAUUGAGCAGAAGUAGGACUUGCUCUUUUAAGACUGGUAUUUUGGCUCCAGGAGGAGUGGACAACUCUGGCAACUUUAUAACUUGUGGACUUCAACUCCCAGAAUUCCUGAGCCAACAUGGUUAGUAACUGAAGUCCACAGGCUGUAGGAGCUGAAGUCCACAAAUCGUAAAGGGUCCAUAGUUGCCCACUCGUGAGUUAAACUAAUAGUACAGUACAAGGUGGGUAAGACUGAAAAGGCUCAAUGUUUGAAGGAGAAGGGUUAAACGACAAAAUGGUUUCAUCAAGCCAUGUAAUGAUUGAACAUUGGACUCUCCAUUUAAUAAAACAUUAGUCUAGCAGAAAAUCAGUUAUUUUCAUUGACAAAUUUCAGUGGUGUCAACUAAUAGUGCUCUGUAGAUCAUGUUUAUAUUUUUUGUUAUAUCUCUAUUUUUAUU